rnacentral:rRNA from 1 species
UACGAAGGGGGCUAGCGUUGCUCGGAAUUACUGGGCGUAAAGCGCACGUAGGCGGAUUGUUAAGUCGGGGGUGAAAUCCUGGAGCUCAACUCCAGAACUGCCUUUGAUACUGAAGAUCUCGAGUCCGGAAGAGGUGAGUGGGACUCCGAGUGUAGAGGUGAAAUUCGUAGAUAUUCGGAAGAACACCAGUGGCGAAGGCGGCUCACUGGUCCGGUACUGACGCUGAGGUGCGAAAGCGUGGGGAGCAAACAGG